CUUCCAUCCUACCCUCCCCCUGGUGUCAAUUUGUCUUUAGUGUGGUGACUUUUCCUCUUACAUCAGUCUAAAGAAAAUCACUAGAAUCGUGACUCGUACAUCAUUUCAAGGCAAGAAAGUCCAUCCCACAUGUUUUCUUUCCCAUCUUCCCUUCCUGACCUCCUCUCAUUUGAUUUUUAUUUUUUUCCACCCAUAGACAUUCAAUUUCUUUUUCGAUUUUUCACCGAUUCUUCUUUCUUCCCAACAUUCCUUUCCAACAAAA
rnacentral:lncRNA from 1 species